UUUGUUUCUUGUUUAUUUGUUUGCUUUUUUUGGGGGGAGGGUGUUUACCAGAAGUCUUUGAACUGGUCUUAAAGAUUGAAUUUUAACUGCAAAUAUUUUUCUAGCAAUUUGACUUAACAUUUCUUACAAGCUUUUCUAUGAAAAGAAUCUACACCCAAUUUGGCACCAAGUAUGUCUAGAAGAGAGAGAGCAAGCACUGUGCACUCACUGGGCAGGAAAACAAUUCUAGAAACCAGUUCUCUUUGUGCCCAUUACUCAAGCAUAUUUGGAACUGCACCCAAGGAUUAUUUUUCUGAAUAUAACGCAUCUCUCAGAUCACUGCAGCUUAAUGUCCAGGACCAUCAGAUACUGAACACUAUAUAGAGGACCAUCCCUGAUCACAACCUGAAAUCCAAGGAAGUCUGCUAAGUCCAGCAAGUUUCUCUAAGGAGAAAACUGGGACAAUAUUGGUUAGGCUCGGAAGCUGGGAUUAGGUGAGGAAAGUCUUACAAGAUAGUGAGUAGUUUGGUCUGAGGGCAAUCCAAGUUGGUGCUCUGGGUUUUUUUUACAGAAGCUAGCAGUUCUUCUGGUGGUCCCACCUGUGCAGCCUAAGACUACCUGAACACAGUUAUCCUGUCAUGAAGUGAAAGCUUCCAUUUAAGAUUUCUGGUAGUGUUGUGAAGUACUGCUAAUUUAGAAAUGCAGAAUGAAGACAUACUAAUGAGAGUACUGUUACCGUGACAUUACUCACCAGUCUCACAGUCUGCAAAGUUCUCAGUGCACAGAUAAAAACUUACAGAUUCUCUGCGGAAUU